AUCGAUGAAGAACGCAGCGAAAUGCGAUAAGUAAUGUGAAUUGCAGAAUUCAGUGAAUCAUCGAAUCUUUGAACGCACCUUGCGCUCCUUGGUAUUCCGAGGAGCAUGCCUGUUUGAGUGUCAUGAAAUUCUCAACCUCUCUAGUUUUUUCGACUAGUUAGGCUUGGAUUUGGAAGUUGCUGGCUCGUUCAGCUCUUCUUAAAUAGAUUAGCAAAGAUCUUUGCUGCUCAUCAUUGGUAUGAUAAUUAUCUAUAUCAUUGAUAAACAGUGUCCUUCACAGGAGAGCUCUUGCUUCUAAUCGUCUUUCUAAGACAAUUUGAUAACUUUUGACCUCAAAUCAGGUAGGACUACCCGCUGAACUUAAGCAUAUCAAUAAGCGGAGGAAAAGAAACUAACAAGGAUUCCCCUAGUAACUGCGAGUGAAGCGGGAAAAGCUCAAAUUUAAAAUCUGGUAGUCUUUGGCUGCCCGAGUUGUAAUCUAGAGAAGCGUUAUCCGCGCUGGACCGUGUGUAAGUCUCCUGGAAUGGAGCGUCAUAGAGGGUGAGAAUCCCGUCUUUAACACGGACUACCAGGGCUUUGUGAUGCGCUCUCAAAGAGUCGAGUUGUUUGGGAAUGCAGCUCUAAAUGGGUGGUAAAUUCCAUCUAAAGCUAAAUAUUGGCGAGAGACCGAUAGCGAACAAGUACCGUGAGGGAAAGAUGAAAAGAACUUUGGAAAGAGAGUUAAACAGUACGUGAAAUUGUUGAAAGGGAAACGCUUGAAGUCAGUCGCGUUGGUCAGGGAUCAACCUUGCUUUUGCUUGGUGUACUUCCUGGUUAACGGGUCAGCAUCAAUUUUGACCAGUGGAAAAAGGUCAGGGGAAUGUGGCAUCUUCGGAUGUGUUAUAGCCUCUGGUCAUAUACAUUGGUUGGGAUUGAGGAACUCAGCACGCCGCAAGGCCGGGGUUUACCCACGUUCGUGCUUAGGAUGCUGGCAUAAUGGCUUUAAUCGACCCGUCUUGAAACACGG
rnacentral:rRNA from 1 species